AUGAACGAUGAAGAUGCUUCAAGUUGUGGUUCAAAGAGAACGAUGAAGGUUGAUGAAACAGAUGGAAAUGGAAGAUUGAUGAAGCCGAUUAAGAUGAAGGAAUGUAGAGUGAUAUUGGUCGGUUCUGAGAAUUUGUGGAGUCUGAAGGAGAGAAAAGCUUUAGUAAACUUGGGUAACAACAGGGCAACCGGUUCAUUAUGCAGCUCAAGGUUUAAUGACAGUGGCAAUGCACCUCUUGGAAACAUGGAGGAUUGGAGCAAACAAAGUAGAUCUGGUUUUGAUGUCAUGAAGAUGUCUUGA